AGUGAACGCUGGCGGCGUGCCUAAUACAUGCAAGUCGAACGGAGUGGCGCACAGGUGAGUAAUAUAUAGCUAAUCUGCCCCUUGCUGGAGGACAACAGUUAGAAAUGACUGCUAAUACUCCAUAGAAAGGGAUGAGCAUAUAUCGUCUCAGAUAGUCGGUGGGGUAACGGCCUACCGAGGCUAUGACGCGUAACUGUUCUGAGAGGAUGCUCAGUCACAUUGUAACUGAGACACGGUCCAAACUCCUACGGGAGUCAGCAGUAGGGAAGAUUGCGCAAUGGGCGAAACCCUUACGCAGCAACGCCUCGUGGAGGAUGACACUUUUCGGAGCGUAAACUCCUUUUGUUAGGCAAGCGGUACCUACCGAAUAAGCACCGGCUAACUCCGUGCCAGCAGCCGCGGUAAUUC
rnacentral:rRNA from 1 species